AGUCGAACGGGAUCCAAUUUUUAGCUUGCUAAAGAUUGGUGAGAGUGGCGCACGGGUGCGUAACGCGUGAGCAACCUACCCAUAUCAGGGGGAUAGCCCGAAGAAAUUCGGAUUAACACCGCAUAAGACUACGAGAUGGCAUCAUCAAGUAGUUAAAUAUUUAUAGGAUAUGGAUGGGCUCGCGUGACAUUAGCUAGUUGGUGAGGUAACGGCUCACCAAGGCGACGAUGUCUAGGGGCUCUGAGAGGAGAAUCCCCCACACUGGUACUGAGACACGGACCAGACUCCUACGGGAGGCAGCAGUAAGGAAUAUUGGUCAAUGGACGGAAGUCUGAACCAGCCAUGCCGCGUGCAGGAUGACUGCCCUAUGGGUUGUAAACUGCUUUUGUCGAGGAAUAAACCUAUCUACGUGUAGAUAGCUGAAUGUACUCGAAGAAUAAGGAUCGGCUAACUCCGUGCCAGCAGCCGCGGUAAUACGGAGGAUCCGAGCGUUAUCCGGAUUUAUUGGGUUUAAAGGGUGCGUAGGCGGCACUUUAAGUCAGGGGUGAAAGACGGCAGCUUAACUGUCGCAGUGCCUUUGAUACUGAAGUGCUUGAAUGCGGUUGAAGACGGCGGAAUGAGACAAGUAGCGGUGAAAUGCAUAGAUAUGUCUCAGAACACCGAUUGCGAAGGCAGCUGUCUAAGCCGUUAUUGACGCUGAUGCACGAAAGCGUGGGGAUCGAACAGGAUUAGAUACCCUGGUAGUCCACGCCCUAAACGAUGAUAACUCGAUGUUUGCGAUAUACCGUAAGCGUCCAAGCGAAAGCGUUAAGUUAUCCACCUGGGGAGUACGCCCGCAAGGGUG
rnacentral:rRNA from 1 species